rnacentral:rRNA from 1 species
UACGAAGGUCCCAAGCGUUGUUCGGAAUCACUGGGCGUAAAGGGAGCGUAGGCGGCGUGGUAAGUCAGGUGUGAAAUCCCGGGGCUCAACCUCGGAACUGCACCCGAUACUGCCAUGCUUGAGUGUUGGAGAGGUGACUGGAAUUCUCGGUGUAGCAGUGAAAUGCGUGGAUAUCGAGAGGAACACUCGUGGCGAAGGCGAGUCACUGGACAACUACUGACGCUGAGGCUCGAAGGCUAGGGUAGCGAAA